UACAGAGGUCUCAAGCGUUGUUCGGAUUCAUUGGGCGUAAAGGGUUCGUAGGCGGUGUGGCAAGUCGGGAGUGAAAUCUCUGGGCUCAACUCAGAGACUGCUUCCGAAACUGCUGUGCUGGAGUGUGGGAGAGGCGCGUGGAAUUGCAGGUGUAGCGGUGAAAUGCGUAGAUAUCUGCAGGAACACCCGUGGCGAAAGCGGCGCGCUGGACCACUACUGACGCUGAGGAACGAAAGCUAGGGGAGCAAACAGG
rnacentral:rRNA from 1 species